rnacentral:lncRNA from 1 species
CCCUGGGGGCCCAGAUCGAGGGCUUUCUUGGCCCAGGUGGCGCACGACUCCGGAAGGCGGAGGAUGGCGGGGGUGCGGGUGGCGGCAAGGGCGUGGAGACAAGGGAGAGCGUCGGAGACGCCGCCAUGGCCGUGCUCCAUGUCGACGACGACGAAGUCGUAGCCGGAGAGGCCAGCGAUCUCGGCGAGGGUAGGUGAGAAGCUGAGAAGAAAGAGGCCGUAGAGGGUGUCGCCAUUUUUGAGGCGGGUUUUGAGGGUUGGAGGUGGGGCCAUGGUUGAUAGCGACGAUGAGGAGGAGGAGCAGAUUAUCUGGGCUUUGUUGGUUCUUUGUUUAGAGAGACGGAUGAUGGUGGUAGUAGUAAUAGUGGGGGAGAAGGGGCGGAAUAAGGUUUUAGGAGAAGGAGGAAUGGAGGAGAGGGGUUUCUUGAGGGUUGAGAACAGUAAGGAAGAAGUAGUGGGAGUGAAGGAGGGGAGAGUGGUGGCCAUAGCUAGCGACUGAUUUUGGUGCUGUAGGUGUUCUGACUUUUGAGAAAUGGGUCUGUGGUGCUGUCUAUAUAUAUAUGACCUGUGACUACUCUGUGAGUGACGGGAAUGGGAUGGAUAAAUGGGUCUGUGGUUUGUCUAUAUUAUGACCUUUGUUUUGCUAAAUUUUAAAAAUGCAUUGAAUGAAAAAGAUUAUAGGGGCAUAACCAAAAAGCAUUAUACCUAAAACAUCAUAGAGGCAUACCACAAUGAUGAUCAUACAUACUAUAAUAGAAAGAGGACAUUUACAAUUUUCAAAUACGGAGGAGAAAUGAGUGUUGAGAGAUUGAUUUUUGAAACAAUGUAAUGCAGAGGAAUGUAAUCCGCAUUUUCAUUUGAUCAUUUGUAAGAUAUAUCUUUGGCAAUGUGAAACUAUAUGCGCAAUAUUCAGGCACAAGCUCAUGAUUUACUACUUUGUUAUCUUCAAAUUGUUUUCUACUCUUAUAACUCCAAAAUCAGUCACCACGAGAAAAAAUUCAAUUGAGUACUGCAUGUGUUGAGCAUUGAAAAAAUAAAGUGGUCCAAAGACUCAAAACUCCUGAACACAGACAGAGUUGGCAUAAUUGAUAAGGGUGAUUUUUUUUACAAGUAUAUGCCAUCUUCCCUUUCUUCUCCUAACAUUUUAUUUAGCUGACUGCAUCCCCUGGAGUGUUGCCUGUCCAACUGUCCCACAUGCAAUUGCUUUCUUUUGUUCAUGCUAAAAUACUAUCUUUUUUCCUGUUCCCCAUGACUGCCCCAGCCCAUUUAUUUCCCCUUUUCUUUUUGUCAAUGAAUGAAUGUAAAUAUCACUAGAUCUGAUAACAAUAUAACAACCCAUGACACAAAUUAGUAGUAAUCAGUCUGGCACUUUAUCACUCGGGCCAAUGAAAAGUUACUCUGUUUAUAUAUGUAUAUAUUUCUCUUUGAUUUGAUAUAAAGAGAGAAUAAGCUUAAGAGAUGGCAAGCCUUAGAACUCAGAGAAACCUGUUAUGGUAUACUUGUCUCCAAUUUCUUCUGAUGAUCCAAACCAAAGUGAUCUUCUGCUACCAAUACAUGGUUGGAGAUUUAGAUGCUUGGGGUAUACCCACUUCAUCAAAUCGACUUGUCUACACCAAGUGGUCUAAGAAUCACAACUUGAACAUCGGAGACUCUCUCAGUGAGUUUGUUCUUCUCAAGUUUGAUCUCUAGUUUUAAAAUUUUCAAAAAUGUAUGCUAUGUUUGCUUAUUCUCAAAUCCCAAAUGAUUAUGUUUAUGCGCAGUUUUCCUAUACCCACCAAGUCAAGAUUCAGUUGUUCAAGUAACAGAGCAAUCAUACCAGAGCUGCAACCUAACAGAUCCAAUAUUGUACAUGAACAACGGCAAUUCUCUCUUCAAUGUUACUUCACCAGGAGACUACUAUUUCACUAGUGGACAACAGGGCCACUGCCAAAAAUCACAAAAACUCCACAUUUCUGUGCUCUUUUCUGGUAAUGGGUCUUUAGCCUCCUCACCUUCUUAUGGUCCUAGUGCAUUACCAAAAACCUCACCUUCUUAUCCGAAUGUGUUUGGGUCAAUUCCAGCGUCGCCUUCUUCCUCUCCUAUAGUCAGCAUUCCGGUCUUCUCGUCUGCAGCUACAGUAUUUUUGAUAUGUGCACUUGUCACUAGCACCAUUUGAAUUUCAAUGUCCUACAAACAAAAAAAAUACAUUUCAACAUCCAGUUCUCAUAUUGAUUGUUUUGAUAUAUUUACCUCAAAUUUGGUUACCUUUCUCGUUCGAACCCAUCUCUGAAUAGAAGUCAUUUGCAGAAGAUUCUUCAUCAUGCAACGCAUUGCCAGCCAGUAGUAACAUGUUUCCUAGCAAGGUGCAAGUAUUUCACUAGGGUCAAAAUAUUAUUUGUGAAACUUCACUUCUAAAUAUUCACAAUUGUAUGAAAAUAUUUCUAAUCUUUCGCAUGAAAAUAUAUAUAUCAAAAUAGAAUAAAAAAUCAAUGCAAGAAACCAACAGCAGUGGUUUCAUCAGGAGUUAGUAACACUGUUAUACCUAGUAUGGAGUUUGAGAAGAAUUUGCCUAUUAGAGGAUUAACUAGGGAGCAACUAGCUGAAAAGAGGAGGAAGAAAUUAUGUUAUUCGUGUGAUGAGCCUUAUACUGUGGGACAUCAAUGCAAGAAACCUCACCUAUUUUUGAUGUUACCUUCUCAAGAAGGUUGUGAUAAUGAAGAAGAAGUGGGGGACUGCUAUGAAGAGGAAAAACCUCCAGAUGACAAUGAAUGUAAGGUACAUGAGGCUCACAUUACCCUACAUGCUUUGUCAGGACACAGGGUUAAUAAUACUAUUAGAAUUUUGGGAGUGGCAAAUGGAAAGAGUAAGGAUAUUGAUUGACAGUGGAAGUACAAACAACUUCCUAGAUCCUCAAGCUGCCAAAAGGAUCUAUGUAGCUUCCACUCAAGAUACUAAACCUAUGCCAGUCUCUGUAGCUGAUGGAUUCAAGGUAGAAAGUUUGCAGGAAUGUACACAGUUGUCUUGGUCAGUUCAAGGGGAGUCUUUUGUUACUGACUUUAGAGUCCUGCCCUUGGGGGGAAUAGAUGUUGUUCUGGGUGUGCAAUGGCUUAAGCACUUCAACCCAGUUACUUUUGACUUUGAUCAACUCCAGUUAUCAUUUAUGAAGGGCAAUAAGGCAGUAGUACUCAAGGGUGAAUCAGAUGUGGUUACUCCUACUGUUCAGCUCAUGUCUCCUGGGGAGUUUCAGCAGGCCUUGAAUGCAGCAACACAUGGGUAUUUUGGUUACCUCUUUGGGAUGAAUUCUAAUGCCCCUGACAACACAGAACCACCCAUUGGAAACUUGGAGGCUGAAGUAGUUAAGGAAAGAAAUAAGGACUGCUGUCAGUUGGAAAAAGUGCUGCAGAAUUUUUCUGAGGUGUUUAAGGAAUCACAAGGGCUGCCACCAGAUAGAGCACACAAUCACCACAUCAAUUUAAAAGAAGGAAGUCAACCAGUUAACUUGAGGCCAUAUAGAUAUCCCUAUGUGCAAAAAGAGGAGAUUGAGAAGAUUGUAAAUAAAAUGAUGACUUCGGUGAUCAUUCAGCCAAGCACAAGCCCCUAUGCUUUUCCAGUUCUUCUAGUAAAGAAACAAGAUGGAACCUAGAGGAUGUGUGUAGAUUAUAGAUCCUUGAAUGAGAUGACAGUCAAGGAUAAGUUCCCCAUUCCGGCUAUUGAUGAGCUCCUGGAUGAACUACAUGGUUCUAGAUGGUACUCCAAGUUGGACCUCAGAUCAGGUUAUCACCAAAUCAAAGUACACCCACCAGAUAUCCCUAAAACUGCCUUUAGGACACAUACUAGACAUUUUGAGUUUUUAGUUAUGCCAUUUGGGUUCACUAAUGCUCCAGCUACCUUUCAAUCCUUAUUUGAGGAAGUUUAUCCUAGUCUUCUUUGAUGACAUAUUAGUAUAUAGUCCCAGUUAUGAAGAACACCUUAAACAUUUGCAAUUAACCCUACAGCUGCUCAAAGAUAACACUUUAUAUGCUAAAAGGAGUAAGUGUCUCUUUGGUACAGAACAAGUUAAGUAUUUGGGACACAUCAUUACCCCAAAUGGAGUAUCCACUGACCCUGAAAAAAUCUGCUGCACGAAGGAAUGGCCAAUUCCUCAAAACAUUAGAAGUCUAAGGGGAUUUCUGGGCCUUACUGGCUAUUACAGAAGGUUCAUCAGAAACUAUGGCCUUAUUAGUAAACCUUUGACUGAUUUAUUGAAGAAGAAUAAUUUCCAAUGGAAUGAUAGUGCUACUACUGCUUUCUUCUCUUUGAAAAAUGCUAUGAUGAGAGCACCAGUCCUAGCUAUGCCCAAUUUUGCUCUACCCUUCACUUUAGAAACUGAUGCUUCCUAUUUUGGCUUGGGAGCAAUUUUGAUGCAACAAGGGAAGCCUAUAGCUUAUCUAAGCAAGGCCAUAUCUCCUAAACACUUAGGUUGGUCCACUUAUGAGAAGGAAUUAAUGGUUGUGGUCUAUGCUGUUAACAAAUGGAGGCACUACUUGCUUGGGAAUAAGGUGUUAAUUAAGAUUAUCAUCAAAGUCUUAAGUACUUGCUUGAUCAAAGAAUCACUACCAUUAACCAACAAAAGUGGAUCACCAAAUUGAUGGGUUUGGAUUAUGAGAUCGUGUAUAAAAAGGGUAAAGAAAAUCUUGCAGUAGACUGCCUAUCUAGACAAAUACCAGGCCAUGAUUCUGAGCCAAGUUGCUUAGCCCUAUCUACUUGUAUUCCCCACUGGAUAAUGAAUCCUGGGAGUCUGAUCAAGGGCUUAAGGAUUUAAUAUUGCAGCUCCAGUUAGACCCUCAGUCACUGCCUGGUUAUUCUUUUCAAAAUGGAAGAUUAAAGUUCCAAGGCAGGCUGGUAGUUGGCCCAAAUGAUGCCUUAAAGGCUAAGCUCCUAUCUGAAUUCCAUGAAUCUCCUAUUGGUGGUCACUCGGGUAUCACAGGUACAUAUGAAAGGAUAAAUAAAAUAUUUUUUUGGUCCAAUAUGAGGAGUGAUGUUACUCAGUUUGUUAAAAGCUGUGAUGUGUGCCAACAAAACAAGCAUGAAACGGUGGCCCUUCCAGGACUAUUACAGCCCUUGCCUAUUCCAGAUAAGCCAUGGGAGGAUAUAUCCAUGGAUUUUAUUGAAGGAUUACCAAAGUCUAGAGGACAGACAGUCAUAUGGGUGGUAGUUGAUAGGCUAACCAAGUAUGGUCAUUUCAUUCCUCUUCAUCAUCCUUUUUCUGCUGCAGAUUUGGCUCAAGUAUACAUUGAACAAAUUUAUAAACUACAUGGUUUUCCCUCCUCCAUUGUGUCUGAUAGGGAUAAAAUCUUCAUCAGUCUGUUUUGGCAAUCAUUGUUCAAACUGGUGGGGACAAAACUUCACUUAAGCACUUCAUACCACCCCCAAACUGAUGGCCAGACAAAAAGGCUCAACCAGGUGCUUGAAUGUUAUCUCAAAUGUAUGACUGCAAAUAAACCCACUAACUGGACCAUUUGGUUGCCUCUAGCAGAAUUCUGGUAUAAUUCUCAUUAUCACAGUGGGCUUAAGGUGUCUCCUUUUGAAGCCCUAUAUGGUUACAAGCCUCCUCAUCUCAACUUUCAUCAAUAUGGUCAAAUUAAGGACCCUACUACCAAGUCAUUUUGCAAGGACAGAACUCAACAAUUGCAGUUAUUAAAGCAGAACUUGACAGCAGCUCAGUCUAGGAUGAAAAAUUAUGCUGAUAAGGCAAGGAGUGAAAGGACCUUCUUGGUGGGAGAUUGGGUAUACCUGAGGAUUAAAUCGUACAAACAGUCUACUGUUACUCAAGCUAAAUUUGGAAAGCUUCUUCCCAAAUAUUUUGGCCCCUAUUAGGUUAUAGAAAAAGUGGGAAAAGUCGCCUAUCGACUUAGUUUACCAACUCAAGCUAAGGUCCAUCCUGUGUUCCAUGUGUCCCUUUUGAAGAAGAAGAUUGGCUCCAAGCACACUAGUUCUUCAAUCCUACCUCCUCUAGAUGAACAUGGCCAAUUCUUGGUGGAGCCUAUGGCUAUUCUAGACAGGAAGAUGAUUAAGAAAAACAAUGCAGCUUCAGUUGAGGUAUUGGUGCAGUGGUCCAACACUUUGCCUGAUGAAGCAACUUAGGAGGACUGGGAUGAGUUCCAUAAGAAAUUCCCUCAUUUCCAACCUUGAGGACAAGGUUGUUUUCAUGGGGGGUAGAUUGUAAGGUGAUUAAGUUGGUUAGCUAGGGUCAUCUAUGUCUUUUGUUAUUUUUAUGAGUGGGCAAGUCAGUCUUUUUCCUUCCAUUUGCAUUUCUUCAGCAUGAUGCUCUGUUAGUAGGUUGUUAGGAAUCACAUGGCUGAGCAGGUAUCCAAUCUAGGCUCACGUGAGGAGUAUAUGUAAUGUGCUCUUUGCAGCAGAACCAUUAUGAAUGAAAAUAUAAAAUUGUUCCUUUCUAAACUCUGUUUUCCGUCUGAUCCUUCCUCCCUUUCUACUCCCUCCUUCUGAUUCAAUUUAACUCUUUCCUUAUUUCUUAUGAAUUGUUGCAGCUGCUUGCUUAAGUAACAACUGAACUUAUCCGUUUGUUACAGAUAAUAUCGUAGGGAUAGUAUUACAAAUAAGGGAAUUUCUCAGCAAAAAGAGCCACCACUACAGCACCAUAUAUCCAGUAACACUAGUAACUAUUACAUGGAUAUUCUCUAUGAUAUGCCUUUUAUUACUCGGGGACAUAUACAACCUAUCCACUGACACAACAGUCGACAUAAAAAACAGACACAAGAAUGUAAUCAUCCUCAAUACACUACCAUAAUUCAUGCAAUGCAGCCACGACAUGAUCAAUCUUGUAUCAAAAAAGAGAAAUUGAAAAAUAAUUAACCAAAACAUUUUUAGCUACAUUACAGAAUUCUUAGCUUGUUAUCUUUAUAUCAAGAUUCACUGGUUUCUCAUAUAGGCUGUACCUGAAGCUCCAACAUCGAUGACCUAGGCCAAAGACUAUGAAAAUCAGUAUUUAGCUUGUCAUCUCCACAUCAAGAUUCAUUGGUUUCUCUUCAGACACAUAGGCUGCCUCUCGAUCUCUGACAUCUGCAAACUGUGCUGAUGCGGACUUUGAUUCACCUCCUGUGUAUCGAUCGAAGCUUUGCAAAACCUCUGUGAUCUCUCUAUCGACUUCUCAGUUUUCUAUCGCAGAUUGCAGGACGAGAGCUCCUUUCUUAUUGAUCUGAAUUAGAUUAAUUCGUACCUUACACUUCGCUGAUUGCAGAUGAAGCAAAAGAAAGCGCGAAAAACGCCGGAAACACGAGUAACCGCAGAGAACCCAUAUAACCUGAGGGAACCUAAAUACCUGCCCCAAAAUGGGGCUCCGACCCGAACUGUACGCACUGUAAAUUCACCAAACUGUAAGCAGCUCCCGAACUGCAGAGGAGGAAUAACCGGACGCUAAAAGAAGCGGCGCGUCUGGGCGCGUCAGAUCUCCAAUUGGGUUGCUCUUUCUUCGGCCGUGCUCCAUGUCGACGACUACAAAGUCGUAGCCGGAGAGGCCAGCGAUCUCGGCGAGGGUAGGUGAGAAGCUGAGAAGAAAG